rnacentral:rRNA from 1 species
UAACAGCUCAAAUUUGAAAUCUGGCUCCCUCGGAGUCCGAGUUGUAAUUUGGAGAAGAUGCAAUGGGUCUGUGGGUUCGGCCUAAGUUCCUUGGAACAGGACGUCGCAGAGGGUGAGAAUCCCGUAUGUGGCCGAGGCCUGCGCCCGUGUAAAGCUCUUUCGACGAGUCGAGUUGUUUGGGAAUGCAGCUCAAAAUGGGUGGUAAAUUUCAUCUAAAGCUAAAACUGGGCCAGAGACCGAUAGCGCACAAGUAGAGUGAUCGAAAGAUGACCAGCACUUUGGAAAGAGAGUUAAACAGUACGUGAAAUUGUUGAAAGGGAAGCGCUUGCAACCAGACUUGGCCGCUGUUGAUCAUCCAAAGUUCUCUCUGGUGCACUCGACAGCGUACAGGCCAGCAUCGGUUCGGGUGGCUGGAGAAAGAUCGAAGGAACGUAACUCCCUCGGGUGAGUGUUAUAGCCUCCGGUGCCAUACAGCCCAACCGGACCGAGGACCGCGCCUUCGGGCUAGGAUGCUGGCGUAAUGGUUGUAAGCGACCCG